GACGAACGCUGGCGGCGUGCUUAACACAUGCAAGUCGAGCGGUAAGGCCCUUCGGGGUACACGAGCGGCGAACGGGUGAGUAACACGUGAGUAAUCUGCCCAUCACUUCGGGAUAACUCCGGGAAACCGGUGCUAAUACCGAAUAUGACCACUUCAGGCAUCUGAUGGUGGUGGAAAGUUCCGGCGGUGAUGGAUGAGCUCGCGGCCUAUCAGCUUGUUGGUGGGGUAGUGGCCUACCAAGGCUUCGACGGGUAGCCGGCCUGAGAGGGUGACCGGCCACACUGGGACUGCGACACGGCCCAGACUCCUACGGGAGGCAGCAGUGGGGAAUAUUGGACAAUGGGCGAAAGCCUGAUCCAGCAACGCCGCGUGAGGGAUGACGGCCUUCGGGUUGUAAACCUCUUUCAGCAGGGACGAAGCGCAAGUGACGGUACCUGCAGAAGAAGCACCGGCCAACUACGUG
rnacentral:rRNA from 1 species